AGUUUGGUCCUUUUCUGCAAAACCCCGCUUGGGGUUGGCUUCUUGGUGACGACGGUUGGAACUAGGGCUCGAGUUGACAGCGGUUGCGCUAUGCUGCCGACCACGAUGAACACAUUUCCGGCGAAAAUGGUUGAGGGUCUCUCUCUAAUCAGAACGUUUGCAACGUUUCCCUCUUCUCAGCUAGGUGCUCCGAAUUAUGGAUUUGUUUCGUUCUUGCAUCACAAUAGAGGAUCGAGGUUGAAUUUUCCUAAAACGGCAUGGAGUUUGGAGAAAUGUAGUAUGCGCGUGGAGAACAGUUUGCAAGCACUUCGCCCUGCCUCUGAAGCUUUUGCUCAAGAAGCUACUGAAGCUCUUAAGGCUGGGAAGGUUAUUGCAGUCCCCACUGAUACUCUUUACGGACUCGCUUGUGAUGCUUGUUCUUCUGAAGCAGUCAAUAGGAUUUAUGAAAUUAAAGGACGUAAACUUACAAGCCCUCUCGCCAUUUGUGUUGGCGAUGUCUCUGACAUAACUCGUUUUGCUGUAGCAGACCAUUUGCCUCAUGGUUUGCUUGAUUCUCUCCUUCCAGGACCGGUGACCGUUGUACUAAAAAGAGGCGAGUCGAGUAUUCUUGAGAAAUCUCUGAACCCUGGAUUGGAGAGUAUAGGAGUCCGAGUACCCGAUGCUGACUUCAUUAGGCUUAUUUCCCGUAGAUCAGGGACAGCACUGGCUCUUACAAGUGCUAAUUUAAGUGGACGACCAAGCAGUGUCUGUGUCAAUGAUUUUGAAAACCUAUGGCAACACUGUGCUUAUGUCUACGAUGGUGGCGUUCUUCCUGCUGGACGAGCAGGUUCUACGAUUAUCGACCUCACCAAGCGAGGGAUGUUUAAGAUAAUCAGAGCUGGAAGUGCUAAGGAGCAGACUGUUGCAACACUUGAAAGGUAUUCACUGUUAGAAGAAGCAGAUAGUGCUGCUUGAGCAUCAGAGUCUUCUCCACUUCCCAAACCAUUUUUGUUAGUCAUUAUAGAUGGAGAUUGCGAUGGAUUUUUUUAGGCCGAGUGAAAGUAGAUCAAUUCUUAUGGGUUAAAGUUUAAACUGAUAUCAACCACGACUAAAGGAAUUUUGAUACUUUAAGGUCCAAUUACAAGAACGAGAGUCAAGAAGCUACAACAAAUCUUAUAUACUUAUAUUCAAAUUAUGGUGAACUCAUCAUAGGAUAUUUUAGAAGACGUUGGAGA